ensembl:lncRNA
UUUAUUGAUAACAUAGAGCUCAUAUAUUGAUAACCAAGAUUAUGUAUUGAUAACGCAGAGUUUGUGUAUUGAUAACAGAGAUCAUGUAUUGAUAACAUAGAGAUCAUGUAUUGAUACUGAACUAUAUUGAUCAUGUCUCAGGUAGAGAACCAGCCCCUGUACAGAUCCACACUGAGCAUGCUCAGUUUGUCCAGGUCCACACUGAGCAUGCUCAGUCCGUCCAGAUCCACACUGAGCAUGCUCAGUCCGUCCAGAUCCACACUGAGCAUGCUCAGUUUGUCCAGGUCCACACUGAGCAUGCUCAGUUUGUCCAGGUCCACACUGAGCAUGCUCAGUCUGUCCAGAUCCAAACUGAGCAUGCUCAGUCUGUCCAGAUCCACACUGAGCAUGCUCAGUCUGUCCAGAUCCACACUGAGCAUGCUCAGUCUGUCCAGAUCCACACUGAGCAUGCUCAGUGUGUCCAGGUCCAUACUGAGCAUGCUCAGUCCAUCCAGAUCCACACUGAGCAUGCUCAGUACGGAC